rnacentral:rRNA from 1 species
AGAGUUUGAUCAUGGCUCAGGAUGAACGCUAGCUACAGGCUUAACACAUGCAAGUCGAGGGGAAACGACAUCGGAAGCUUGCUUUUGAUGGGCGUCGACCGGCGCACGGGUGAGUAACGCGUAUCCAACCUGCCCACCACUUGGGGAUAACCUUGCGAAAGUAAGACUAAUACCCAAUGACGUCUCUAGAAGACAUCUGAAGGAGAUUAAAGAUUUAUCGGUGAUGGAUGGGGAUGCGUCUGAUUAGCUUGUUGGCGGGGUAACGGCCACCAAGGCGACGAUCAGUAGGGGUUCUGAGAGGAAGGUCCCCCANAUUGGAACUGAGACACGGUCCAAAACUCCUACGGGAGCA